rnacentral:rRNA from 1 species
CGGGGUGAGUAACGCGUGGGUAACCUGCCUUGUACUGGGGGACAACAGUCAGAAAUGACUGCUAAUACCGCAUAAGCGCACAGUAUCGCAUGAUACAGUGUGAAAAACUCCGGUGGUACAAGAUGGACCCGCGUCUGAUUAGCUAGUUGGUAAGGUAACGGCUUACCAAGGCGACGAUCAGUAGCCGACCUGAGAGGGUGACCGGCCACAUUGGGACUGAGACACGGCCCAA